rnacentral:rRNA from 1 species
CAGCCGUAAACAAUGUGCGUUAGGUGUGUCGGUAACCACGCGUUACUGAUGCGCCGAAGAGAAAUCGUGAAACGCACCACCUGGGAAGUACGGUCGCAAGGCUGAAACUUAAAGGAAUUGGCGGGGGAGCACCACAACAGGUGGAGCCUGCGGUUUAAAUUGGAUUCAACGCCGGACAUCUCACCGGAUAAGACAGCUGAAUGAUUGUCAAUCUGAAGGUUUUACAUGACUAGCUGAGAGGUGGUGCAUGGCGUCAGUGACU